CACCUGUUCCCAUUCCGAACACAGUAGUUAAGCACAUAAACGCCGAAAGUACUUGGCUGGAGACGGCCUGGGAGGAUAGGAAGUUGCCGGUU
rnacentral:rRNA from 1 species